GAUCCGAAGCCCAGCUAAGGAUGUCAGCGCACUAAAUAUUUACUGAUCACACACAAAUAGCCGGGGCUCGAACGAUUUUCCUCUGUGAGGAGAGCGCGGAGAGAAGGGUCCCAGUUCCUCUGGGAAUCGUCCUGUAUGCAACAUCUUCACAAGAGUGGCAGGCAGUUGAAUCUCUGGCCUUCGUGGGACCACUGGACAUCUGGCAGAGAACCAGGAAACCACGGUUCCCUUCUGUGAGUCCCUCAGCCGGAAAACUACAAGCUCCUCAUGCAGCUGCUGUCUACAGACCCCCUGGACUGCCUGGGGAAGUGAGUCGGAGCUCCUGCAGCAGAGGGGUGGAACAGCUACACGAAGAUCCGAAGGUGGCCAAAAAUAACAGCGCUUUCCAGAUGAGGGAGCCAGUUGUCCAGCACAGUGUCAUGGGACAGUGGGCCCUGGUGCCACAAUGCCCGGCAUCUCCACCAGAUACAGCUUUGAGAUCUUCAUGAUGAAGCUUGCUCCAAUCCAAGGGCUGUCAGGUGGGGUUUGCGGUUCAGCUGCUAACCUUUCUUUGGCUUCUAUUGCAAGACCUUCU
ensembl:lncRNA NR2F2-AS1 NR2F2 antisense RNA 1